rnacentral:rRNA from 1 species
UACGUAGGGGGCAAGCGUUGUCCGGAAUCAUUGGGCGUAAAGAGCGUGUAGGCGGUCCUGUAAGUCCGCUGUGAAAGUCAAGGGCUCAACCCUUGAAUGCCGGUGGAUACUGCAGGACUAGAGUCCGGAAGAGGCGAGUGGAAUUCCUGGUGUAGCGGUGAAAUGCGUAGAUAUCGAGAGGAACACCUGCGGCGAAGGCGGGUUGCUGGGCCGACACUGACGCUGAUGCGCGAAAGCCAGGGGAGCGAACGGG